ACGGCAGCACAGGGAGCUUGCUCCCGGGUGGCGAGUGGCGCACGGGUGAGUAAUACAUCGGAACGUGUCCUGUUGUGGGGGAUAACUGCUCGAAAGGGUGGCUAAUACCGCAUGAGACCUGAGGGUGAAAGCGGGGGAUCGCAAGACCUCGCGCAAUUGGAGCGGCCGAUGCCCGAUUAGCUAGUUGGUGAGGUAAAGGCUCACCAAGGCGACGAUCGGUAGCUGGUCUGAGAGGACGACCAGCCACACUGGGACUGAGACACGGCCCAGACUCCUACGGGAGGCAGCAGUGGGGAAUUUUGGACAAUGGGGGCAACCCUGAUCCAGCCAUGCCGCGUGCAGGAUGAAGGCCUUCGGGUUGUAAACUGCUUUUGUCAGGGACGAAAAGGACCGUGUUAAUACCAUGGUCUGCUGACGGUACCUGAAGAAUAAGCACCGGCUAACUACGUGCCAGCAGCCGCGGUAAUACGUAGGGUGCAAGCGUUAAUCGGAAUUACUGGGCGUAAAGCGUGCGCAGGCGGUUCUGUAAGACAGAUGUGAAAUCCCCGGGCUCAACCUGGGAAUUGCAUUUGUGACUGCAGGACUAGAGUUCAUCAGAGGGGGGUGGAAUUCCAAGUGUAGCAGUGAAAUGCGUAGAUAUUUGGAAGAACACCAAUGGCGAAGGCAGCCCCCUGGGAUGCGACUGACGCUCAUGCACGAAAGCGUGAGGAGCAAACAGGAUUAGAUACCCUGGUAGUC
rnacentral:rRNA from 1 species